GAUCAUGGCUCAGGAUUAACGCUGGCGGCGUGCCUAAUACAUGCAAGUCGAAUGGUAGCAAUACCAUGGCGAACGGGUGAGUAACACGUAGGUAACCUGUCUUUAAGCCGAGGAUAACCAUUGGAAACGAUGGAUAAUACUGGAUAGGACAUUUGAAGGCAUCUUUUAAUGUUUAAAGAUUUAUCACUUAGAGAGGGGCCUGCGGCGCAUUAGCUAGUUGGUGAGGUGAAGGCUUACCAAGGCGAUGAUGCGUAGCCGGACUGAGAGGUUGAACGGCCACAAUGGAACUGAGAACGGUCCAUACUCCUACGGGAGGCAGCAGUAGGGAAUUUUCGGCAAUGGGCGGAAGCCUGACCGAGCAACGCCGCGUGAACGAAGAAGUAUUUCGGUAUGUAAAGUUCUUUUAUUAGGGACGAAAAGACAGAUUGACGGUACCUAAUGAAUAAGCUCCGGCUAACUACGUGCCAGCAGCCGC
rnacentral:rRNA from 1 species